rnacentral:tRNA from 1 species
GCCGUCGUAGCUCAGCUGGUAGAGCAACUGAUUCGUAAUCAGUAGGUCGGUGGUUCGAGUCCACUCGACGGCA